CUACGUAGGUGGCAAGCGUUGUCCGGAAUUAUUGGGCGUAAAGCGCAUGUAGGCGGUAAUUUAAGUCUGUCGUGAAACUGCGGGGCUCAGCCCCGUAUGGCGAUGGAAACUGGGUUACUUGAGUGCAGGAGAGGAAAGGGGAACUCCCAGUGUAGCGGUGAAAUGCGUAGAUAUUGGGAAGAACACCGGUGGCGAAGGCGCCUUUCUGGACUGUGGCUGACGCUGAGAUGCGAAAGCCAGGGUAGCGAACGGGAUUAGAUACCCCGGUAGUCCUGGCCGUAAACGAUGGGUACUAGGUGUGGGAGGUAUCGACCCCUUCCGUGCCGGAGUUAACGCAAUAAGUACCCCGCCUGGGGAGUACGGCCGCAAGGCUUAAACUCAAAGGAAUUGACGG
rnacentral:rRNA from 1 species